UCGACCUGAACUCAGGCAUGAUUACCCGCUGAACUUAAGCAUAUCAGUAA
rnacentral:rRNA from 1 species